UACAGAGGGUGCAAGCGUUUGUUCGGAAUUAUUGGGCGUAAAGCGCGUGUAGGCGGCUUUGCAAGUCGGGUGUGAAAGCCCUCAGCUUAACUGAGGAAGUGCGCCCGAAACUGCAGAGCUUGAGUACCGGAGAGGAUGGCGGAAUUCCCCAAGUAGAGGUGAAAUUCGUAGAUAUGGGGAGGAACACCGGUGGCGAAGGCGGCCAUCUGGACGGAUACUGACGCUGAGACGCGAAAGCGUGGGUAGCAAACAGGG
rnacentral:rRNA from 1 species